AGUAACUUUCAUGUUAUUGCAUGGAUAAAUUGUAACGCACACCUACAACAGUCUAUAAUUUGCUGUAAUGUCUAGCAGUUGUCUCAUUUUUUUUAUCUAAAUCCACCUGGACGACCAUGUCCGUGUCCUCAUAUCCCUGAAAAUGUCCUCAGUGACCCUUAGAGCAGGAUGAAUGGGGUGUGAUAGAAAAUGCACAUGAUUAUCUGAAGUACAAAGUUCCUUUCGCGAGUGAGAACACUGUCAACACCAAGGCCAUGCAUGGUGUGAACUUGCAGGAAACAAUUGGUCGCGCUCAACUAAUAAUAAAUUCACGAAUCUAUUACAUAAACAGUCUAUUAAUCCGGUUUUACUCAUCAAUAUUCUUUAUCCAGGACAUCAACCCUUUUAUGUCAUUUUUGUUCUAUUUCUUCUGUCCAAUUACAGACUAUCAUACUGCAGAUGAUACUGGAAUUUAUACCCCCGAAUCUUAUUUACUAGAUUUUAAUACUUUAAUACUGGAUUUUAACGCUUUACCAAAUUGGCUUUUAAUCUAAUAAAUGAGUACUCAAUAAAACAAAAUCUCACAUCAUGGUUUUUGCUACCAAACAUUCUUAAAACAAGAUCUAAUCAUCAAAUAAUAAUGUGUUGUGACGGUACGUAGCCUUAUAGAGUUGAUCAAACGAAAUAUUUGGUAUUAUGGCUUGAUCCGGAGCUAUUUUCAAACCUCAUAACGAUGACAUACUUCACAAAAUUAAAGUUGGAACUGGUGUGUUAUAUCAAUCUAAAAACUCCUUCGCAUUUAAUGUCCGAAAGAAUCAUGACUUAUUGUAUAUUACCAUUUUUUGACUAUACCGACACAAUUAACCUUAAUGGUCUCAACUUAAUAUAAGAAGCUACAGUAUAUUCAUUGGCUGCAAUUCAUCUUCAAACGUGUACAUUUUAACGAUCCUUGUCAUUAGCAGUUUUCGGGAUCAUAUUCCUCAAUAAAUCAACUGAGGCGUUCUACACAAUAAUUAUUUUCCAUUCCUACAGUUAUAAAAGUAAUCGGAAAGAAAGCACCUGUGCAUAAGACUCCCUCGGAUUGCGAUCAUUUACCUUCAUAUAUACAAUCCUCGACAUCAUCAUCUCACGCGUUUAAAAAUAGUUUGUUUUCUUAUUUCAGGACAAAUUGUACAUGCUUCAAAUGACGCUAUAUUUAUAUAAGUGUACAAUAUAUAAUAGUGUAAUACUGUAUAUUUUAUAGUAUAAAAUGUCAUAUUAUAUCCUUGCUGGGCAAACAUUUGUUCAUUUGUUCGCAACCUUUCUGUGGCCAUUUAGUAGCUGUGUUCACCAACGCACUCACUCUUUCGACGUCUCUGUGUUGCUCGUCUUAUUUGUAGUACGGUAUGUUUGUUGAAAUAUUGAUUGCUGUUUUGAUUUUGUUUUCCCUAUGACGUGUUUUUUUAAAAAAAAAAUUUUUUUCAUUUUUGUUUGUGUUAUAUGUUAGGACCCUUUGAAAACGAGAUGGUUCAUCUCAAGGGGCUUAUCCUAAAGAAUAAACUUGUAUCAUCAUUAGAGAAGGUGACCCAAGCACAACAAGUUGGUCAUCCUAACAAGAACAGAAUAAAGGAAUGUAUAAAUGCUUCAUAUAUAUAUAUAUAUAUAUAUAUAUGAGUUAGUAUUUUGUUAGUGUCAGUAGUAACAGUAUAGUCAUAUAAUAAAUAGUAAUAUAGUAUAUUAUACUAUUUUGUUAUUGUGUCCGUAGGGGAAAAAAUAUUCUAAAACAAGCUGUGAGUGACUUUGGUGUGUUUUUCAGACCCAUACACUCUUGGUAGCAGAGCUUCCACGCAAGGCGCUAACUUGCCAUCAGGAGCAACUUGGGGUCGCCCAAGGACACUUCGGCAUGUGGAGUCACGUGGGCCGGGAAUCGAACCUCUAACCCUACGAUUAGUGGACAACCCGCUCUACCACCUGAUCCACGGCCGCCCCGUGUACUGUCUUGCCACUCAACCAUCAGUUUAAUCAGUAAUGGGGCCCUGGAAUGUAUGGAAACCCUGGAUGUGCAGCACAGUUAAUGUCUCAUAAUAUUCUUCAGUGAGUUAUGUCGCAGUUACCCUAGCGGUCUCUAGAUUGCCAAAAGGAUGCUCAAGUAUUAUUCCUUCUUUCUCUAGGUUACAGAACUUUGAUCAUAUUGAUUUAGACACACGGUAUUUUACAAAAUGCGAUUUUAGGAUUAAAUCUUUGAAAUUGAGUUUGCAGACAAGUUUCCCUACAGUAGUUUUUGCUGUUUUUAAGAAACGGAGAAGCUAAAUAUAUAAGUGGGAAAUCCGAGUUUGUACUGAACAUGAGACAGGCGAGUGAUAUUGUGUCAUCGGAUAUGAAAGCUAGUCACAAAUUCAGGACAUUUCACACUAAUUUACCAGGAAAGGGGGUGGGAAAUGUCAGAUUGGGGAUGUUUCCCUUAUUUAAUCUUGACUUCUUGAUGAGGGUAAAAGUAUCGGUGCCCAUUUUAUGUGUUCUAAUGGGCGAAGCAUUUUAUCUUUCUGUAAAUUAAGCUAUUCAUUUGGCUGAUCGUUUUCCUUAAAUACAUAUACCUAAAUGUUUCCACGAGUAGAUAAUCAACUUAAGAUUUAAAUAAGUAUAUGUUA